rnacentral:rRNA from 1 species
GACGAACGCUGGCGGCGUGCUUAACACAUGCAAGUCGAACGCUGAAGCUCAGCUUUUGUUGGGUGGAUGAGUGGCGAACGGGUGAGUAACACGUGAGUAACCUGCCUCCUUCUUUGGGAUAACGCCCGGAAACGGGUGCUAAUACUGGAUAUUCACUGGUCUUCGCAUGGGGGUUGGUGGAAAGGGUUUUUCUGGUGGGGGAUGGGCUCGCGGCCUAUCAGCUUGUUGGUGGGGUGAUGGCCUACCAAGGCUUUGACGGGUAGCCGGCCUGAGAGGGUGACCGGUCACAUUGGGACUGAGAUACGGCCCAGACUCCUACGGGAGGCAGCAGUGUGGAAUAUUGCACAAUGGGCGCAAGCCUGAUGCAGCGACGCCGCGUGAGGGAUGGAGGCCUUCGGGUUGUGAACCUCUUUCGCUCAUGGUCAAGCCGCAACAAUGGUUGUGGUGAGGGUAGUGGGUAAAGAAGCGCCGGCUAACUACGUG